GAGGGUGUGAUUCGGUGCUAGAGUGCUUGCCUAUCAUGUAAAAGGCCCUGGGUUCAAUACCCAGCACGUGCA
rnacentral:tRNA from 1 species